CCUACGGGUGGCAGCAGUGAGGAAUAUUGGUCAAUGGGCGCGAGCCUGAACCAGCCAAGUAGCGUGAAGGAUGACUGCCCUACGGGUUGUAAGUUUCUUUUAUAGAGGAAUAAAGUGAGGCACGAGUGCCUUUUUGUAUGUACUUUAUGAAUAAGGAUCGGCUAACUCCGUGCCAGCAGCCGCGGUACUACGGUGGAUGCGAGCGUUAUCCGGAUUGAUUGGGUUUAAAGGGAGCGUAGAUGGGUUGGUAAGUCAGUUGUGAAAGCUUGCGGCUUAACCGUAAAAUUGCAUUUGAUACUGGCAGCCGUGAGGACAGUUGAGGUAGGUGGAAUUCGUGGUGCAGCGGUGAAAUGCUUAGAUAUGACGAAGAACACCGAGUACGAAGGCAGCCCACUAAGCUGCCACUGACAUUGAUGCUCGAAAGUGUGGGUAGCAAACAGGAUUAGAUACCCGUGUAGUC
rnacentral:rRNA from 1 species